GUUGAAAUAUCCGUUCCCGUACGAUCAUCGAAGUUAAGCAACACUCAGCUCCGUCAGUACCUGGAUGGGUGUCAAACUGGGAGUACCUAGUGUUGCAUA